UCUGAGGCGCAAGGCUGAAGAUAUGAACCCGGUGUGCUGGUUCACUGGAAAUGGCCGAGGGAAACAGGAGGUUUCAGUGACCAGCAAAUGACAAGAAGAGGGGAAGAGUUAAAGAAACUAUUGUACACAUCUCCAGGGCUUGGAGUGAUGCCAAGGAGAGCCGAGGAUGGAGAUUCUCCCCACUAUCAAAGAAAAAUAAAAGAGUGAUGGGCAAGUCAAAACUGUUGAAGACGUGAAUAUUGGAUGGAGCAAAGAUGGGAUUCUGAUUCCUGUCAUCUUAGGAAUGUUUUCACAAGUUUUGGCCGGAACUCUUGAUCUAGUGACUGUGUGGCAUAAAGCAUCGUUGAGCUUGUUGGUAUGGGAACAUAUGGUAACGGACAUGCUUGAUGGAAUAUAUCCAUCACGUGUUCUCUGUAACCAUCUGGUUUCAUGGUCCUCGUUGCAGACAUUCUAGGAAUCAAAUCUCUGAAAUUUUCAGCUGUGUUGCCGCAGAUGUAGGAUGACCAAAUCAAAGAAGUUCUUCAUGAUCACUUUUCCAACAGAUUGUGCCAGAGACACUGUGAGGUGAUGACACGGCUGAGAGCCAGACCCUGUGAGUUUCUAAGUACCUUCUGCUCCCAGUGACAGCUUUGGAGGGUGAAAGCAUUCAGCACUGAAGAUGAUCUUGUUCUCUUCAUAGUUUACUUCUUGUAUAGUCAUUCUUAUCAUUGUAGAAUAUCUAAAACGCACAAUAGUACUUUUCUCUGCCUUAAACAUAUCCCACAACCUAUUUCUGUGAACCAGAGUGGAUGCAGCUACUUCAGCCAAGGUGGAAACACGCUGGCAGUGGCCAAUCUUGAUGACUGACCUUUGUUCUGUUAUAAACACCAUUAAUUCAUACAGGGUCCAUAUGGCAAUUUUCUUCCUCCCCCUUCUCCCUUUCCUUCUUCUGACUGUCCAAAAGUCUGGAGUUUUGUAUGUCUUUUGCAGUGCAUCCCCACGAGUAUUUCAGUUCUGUUGGCACUUUCCAUAGCAGUAUUAAUAAUGACAUUUAGCUGGCAUGAGGCCAGUUGUAAAAGUUUAUGGAGUAAUUUUGUAAUAGAGCUGCAAGAGCUUAGCAAAAACCCAGCAGGUGAACAAGAUUUCUCCCUCACUCCUUUAAAAUAAAAGCUCUCCCAUUCUGCAAGCUUUGCGAAGCCUUUGCACCACAGUUUCUUGGAAGCAAGAUGUGCAUAUUUUAAUGUGACAGGUCUAGGAACCAGUGUUCUCCUGUGGCACUCCCACCUCCAGCUGCAAGGCUGUACCCCUGGUCCCAUCCCGAGCCAUGCUCAGUACAAACACUGAAUAUAAAAUUGCUGCUUUCCCCUUGCCCUCCGCCUUCCAGCUGCAUAUUCCCACCCUGGUUCCCUGCUUGGAGCAAUGAUUUAAUAAUUAUAUUUACAAUAAUCAUCAGCGCCUCUGUCUGCCCUCCCCCUCCCAGCUGCAGUUUCCCACCCUUAUUUCUCUUCUGUGCCAUGAUUAAUACGUAUGUUUAAAAUAAAACUCAUUGUCUCCUUCUCCCUUUCUCCUCCCAGCUGUGGAUUCCUCCCCACCUCCACCUUAUCCAGAUUUUCAGCCCUGGUUUGUAGGUAGAUUUAACAGAAAAAAUGGAACCUCUGUCAAUGUUGCCUCUUCAUGCUGACUGCCAUUUCUCCAUUUCAGUUUGAAUAGUGGGUUUCAAUACAAAAUCAGAUUGUAGCUGCCAGUGGUUCUGUCAUCAAGCCAAUGAACUUUCUCAAGAGCUUGGGAAGAUUCCACUGUAUUUGACUCUUUUCUGCCAGUGUCUUGGCUGUGAGAGACAAAAUCCUGAAAGGUCAGGCUGUAGCUUGGACUGCACUCCUGUGUGGAGGAUGUGAAGGCUAUCCUAGUACCUCCUGGUUCAGCUGUAUGUGACCAAACUACAGAACCACAGAAUAACAAAAUAGCUGAGGCUGGCAGGCACCUCUGGAGAUCACCUGGGUCGACCUCAUGCUUUGAAUAGUGUUAGCUACAGCAGGUAUCUCAGGGCUGUGUCUAAUCAGGUUUGAACAUCUCUGAGACUGGAGACUCCAUAGCCUCUCUGGGCAACCUGUGCCAGUCUUCAACUGCACUCACAGUAAAGCAGUUUUUCUUAAGCUUGAACAGAAUGUCCUAUAUUUUAGUUUAUGUCUGUUUUUCUUGUCCUAUUAAUGGACACUGCGGAGAAGAGUCUGGUUCCAUAUUUUUUAUACCUUCCAUCAGGCAUUUGUACAUCUGAGCCUUCCCUUUUCCAGAGUGAAGAGUUCCAGUGCUCUCAGCCUUUCCUCGUAGGAGUGAUGUGCUCCAAUCCCUUAAUCAUUUUUGUGGCUCUUCAUUAGACUCUCUGCAGUACAUCCAGGUCUCUCUUGCACUGGGGAUCCCAGAACUAGAUUCAGCACUCCAGGUGUGGCCACACCAGUGCUGAGCAGAUGAGCAAGAUCACCUCCUUCAGCCUGCUGGGAGGAACGUGCUGAGAGGGAUGUGUUUCCAGGAGGCCAUUGGCAUUCUUUGUCAAAAAGGCACAUUGCUGACUCAUGUUAGGCUUGUCCACCAGUAGCCCCAAAGGCCUUUUCUGCAAAGCUGCCUUCCACCUUGUCCUGGUGGAUGUGUUCA